rnacentral:rRNA from 1 species
AGUGAACGCUGGCGGCGUGCUUAACACAUGCAAGUCGAACGAGAACGGUACUAGCUUGCUAGUAUGUCAGCUAAGUGGCGGACGGGUGAGUAAUGUAUAGUUAAUCUGCCCUUUAGAGGGGGAUAACAGUUGGAAACGACUGUUAAUACCCCAUACUCCUUUCUACUUAAUGUAGAUUGGGAAACGUUUUUUCGCUAAAGGAUGAGACUAUAUGGUAUCAGGUAGUUGGUGGGGUAAGAGCCCACCAAGCCAAUGACGCCUAGCUGGUCUGAGAGGAUGAUCAGCCACACUGGAACUGAGACACGGUCCAGACUCCUACGGGAGGCAGCAGUGGGGAAUAUUGCACAAUGGAGGAAACUCUGAUGCAGCAACGCCGCGUGGAGGAUGACGCAUUUCGGUGUGUAAACUCCUUUUAUAUGGGAAGAUAAUGACGGUACCAUAUGAAUAAGC